rnacentral:rRNA from 1 species
AUGAUACGCGAGGAACCUUACCUGGGCUCCAAAUGUAUGUUGACGUAUUCUGAAAGGGAUACUUCUUCGGACAAUAUACAAGGUGCUGCAUGGUUGUCGUCAGCUCGUGCCGUGAGGUGUCGGGUUAAGUCCCAUAACGAGCGCAACCCCUAUCAUUAGUUGCCAUCAGGUCAAGCUGGGGACUCUAAUGAAACUGCCUACGCAAGUAGUGAGGAAGGUGGGGACGACGUCAAGUCAUCAUGGCCCUUAUGUCCUGGGCUACACACGUGCUACAAUGGCCGGUACAGAGUGAAGCGAAACCGCGAGGUGAAGCAAAACGCAGAAAGCCGGUCUCAGUACGGAUUGGAGUCUGAAACUCGACUUCAUGAAGUUGGAAUCGCUAGUAAUCGCGCAUCAGCAUGGCGCGGUAGAAUACGUUCCCGGGCCUU